UCCCUUAGUAACGGCGAGCGAAGUGGGAACAAGCCCAGGUCUGAAAUCUCCCAGCUGGCAAUUGACACGGUUGGGCGAAUUGUGGUCUGGAGAGGCAGACUGUCCCGAUCCACUGCUGCUGAGCCCGAAGUUGACUUGGAACGGCACGCCAAAGAGGGUGAGAGCCCCGUAGGGCCUAGAAAUCGGUAGCAGCGGGACGAGGGUCUGUACUCGUAGAGUCGGGUUGUUUGGGAAUGCAGCCCCAAGUGGGUGGUAGACUCCAUCCAAGGCUAAAUACGGGCGCGAGACCGAUAGCUGACAAGUACCGUGAGGGAAAGGUGAAAAGCACUUUGAAGAGAGAGUUCAAUAGACCGUGAAACCGUUGGGAGGGAAGCUCAGGGUGUCGAGGUUGUCGUGCACUGUUCGAGUUCAGCUGGUGGUGGCAGUUUUCUGUUGCUGCUGGUGCACUCUCUUAUGGUGUUUGACCGUCAGUUGGGAAGAGGCGGAGGUCUGUGGUGUCAGUAGUCGGGAGGUACGCCCCGUGUCUCCGUAAGGUGCUCGGGGUGACGUACAGCCGUUCUGCUGUGGUCUCUGUCGUCUUUCAGGUGCGUUUGGAUGUCUGUUCGUCCAGAAAUGGAAGGUGCAGUCUCCCGAAGUGGGGGAUCGGGCCAUUCGCUCGGUUGUUCUGCGUUGUUCAGUCGUGUUCCGUUCUCUCUCCGUUCAGUCUCUGGCUGUCGGGGCUGAGUGCGGCACUUCAGGCAAUCGUCAGUAUCCCGUGUGUUUGUGUCCUGGAAUCUGUGCCAAAGGUGACUGG
rnacentral:rRNA from 1 species